UAGGAGAAGGCUAUACAGAACUUUAAUUCUGCUUAUUCAGUAAUAAUUUAUUUUGCAAACUCCGAUCAUUAGGAUUAUUAUUAAUUACCAUGCUGUUCAGCUGCACUGACACAGAAAAAUCUUUCUGAUAUAAUUGAGCACAUUAAAAAUAUUGGAUUAAAGUAUUGGCUCUGCCAGAUUUUAAAUAGGGCAAGAUAACGUGGCUAAUCAAAAUCUGAGCGCACACACAGGGUGAUCAUUCACCUACCUCCAUCACACAUUGCCCAAACGCUUUGUGUCGUGGACGUGGGUUGCCCUGAGGAGGCCAGCUGGAGAAAUAAAGGCUUCUUCCGUGGUAAUUCUGGCCUCAGCACUCCGCAGAGCAGCGCUGAGGCGGUGCCUUGGCCCGGUGCACUUCAGCGCAGCCCAGUGCUGCCCUCACCUCAGGCGGGGCCUGCUGCUGCCUCAGAGCAGCGCGCUACCUUCAUCCCAUCACCAAAACGCUGUCAGGUGGCAGAGAUGGCAAAAGCACUGUCUCCUGAGGCUGGUAGAAGCUCUUAAGAUGAGAGAAAUGUUCUGCAGGUGCCAGAGCUCCAUGAUUUCUAUCAAAAAGCUUGUACAGCAGAAAGGCUCUGCACUACACCGCAUGCUGCAUUUCUUUGAACUUUCUGAAACUAUACAGAGGUUUUGAUUUGUCUUGGAGACGCAGAGUGGCCAUUGAGAUCUUCACAGGACAGUUUUCUUUUAAGAACUGGAAAGUGAAACAGAAAAAAAACUUCAGAGAACCCUAUUGACCUUUUGGGGGGGAUAAUACUUUUUUGUCAUUUUUUUAAUGCUGCUUAUCCUUAGCAGCACCCUGCACUGUCUGAGCUGUGGAAUCAAAGGGAGCAGCUAAUAGGUGCUGGCUUGUGUGGCUUCAGCUGAGCACCACACUGCUCAAGCUGUGCACCCACUGAGUGCAGGAUGCAUGCGAGUACCUGUCAUUUAGGGUUACCGUUACCUUCACGUUUGGAGGAAGAGAAUACGAAGGCUGAAACAUUUCUGUCAUGUUCUUGAUGUUUGGUACCAAAACACAGCUCAGCCACAACAAAACCAUUCUGGUAAUGAAUAAUGCCUACUGUGCAAUAGAAGGAAAAUGUGUUUAUUUUAGAGGCUGUAAAGUUAUUCUGUUUGGUUAGUAUGAGACACCCCAAAUUCUCAGUAAAUUUUUUUCAUUUGUUCUGACUCUCAAGUUCUAGCUUUGGUACUAAAGAAAGCAGGCAGCCUUCUUUCACUUUGGCAAUUGGGAUAUAUACUGUGGAAAACAGCUCUUCUGAUACAGAAGGUAAUGAAAAGUCUCCCAACACCAAAACAAGAGUGUGUUACUAGAAACAAUGACAGCUUGUCAGACUGAAAAGUAAGAUAACUUUCAGAGAUGUGAAAGAACAAAUACCAUGUGAAUUGAAAUAUGUAUGACUUGACUAGAAGGACUUGACUUAGUGCUAGAAAUAUAGUAGCUUGGUUUUUGGUUUUGCUGCUUUUUUCCUCAACAGGAAUUUUCUGAGAAGUUUAAGCAAAAGUAUGAAUCAGCUGACAGAUGACCAUAGGUUUGAUUCUUUUACAGAAAGCCCUUCUCAAUACUUCUGACACUGGAGAACAGUUUGAAACUCUGAUAGAACAGGAUGGGUCCCAUUAACUGUGCAUCUUUGCUGGAGGAGUCUCUUGCAGUUAUGGGUUGUUGUUUUUUUGUCUGUUUUGUUUUGUCUUUAAGUCGGGGCAAAGGCAACUUUAAAGCCACCGUUUACUUGAACCUUGAAGCUCACAAAGCAAGAAUUGGCCUUUGUCCAGUUACCUAUCUAGCUGUGAGCAAGGCAUGAAGCUCACAAGCCCAUCCAAGCCUCCUUCCAAAAGUCCUGCGAUAAUAAUAAAAGAUAUCAUCGGAUAUUAUCUCA
ensembl:lncRNA